AGAGUUUGCAUAGAUUGACAACAUUUUGUGACGUUUUUGUUUGUUUUGGACUUCGGACUUCGGGGUUUUUCCGGCUGUUCACAAAUCUUAUUCUCGUGGCAGUCUGACGUUGGUCGACGAAGUUUGCACGUUCGUCGUGAUUGGUCUUUUAAUGGAGAAUGUGAGCACACUCGUUCGGUUCGCAUAGCCGAGUUUGACUAGGCACCAGCCAAACAGAAGCAUGAUGAAGUGUUUAGUGGGGAGUAGCCAUCAACAGAGUUCCAGACAAUGAUUCAUGGUGAGGUGGGUGAAGCAGUCCAACAAGACACUGACGUACCACAACAUCACCUGACAUGUGGGCACCAUCACCUGACAUGUGGGCACCAUCACCUGACAUGUGGGCAACAUCACCUGACAUGUGGGCAACAUCACCUGACAUGUGGGCACCAUCACCUGACAUGUGGGCACCAUCAGCUGACAUGUGGGCACCAUCACCUGACAUGUGGGCACCAUCACCUGACAUGUGGGCACCAUCACCUGACAUG